rnacentral:rRNA from 1 species
AUUGAACGCUGGCGGCGUGCCUAGCACAUGCAAGUCGAGCGGUAACAGGUGUAGCAAUACAUGCUGACGAGCGGCGAACGGGUGAGUAAUGCUUCGGAAUCUACCUUAUGGUGGGGAAUAACUAGCCGAAAGGUUAGCUAAUACCGCAUACGUCCUACGGGAGAAAGCAGGGGAUCGUAAGACCUUGCGCCAAAAGAUGAGCCGAAGUCGGAUUAGCUUGUUGGUGAGGUAACGGCUCACCAAGGCGACGAUCGAUAGCUGGUCUGAGAGGAUGAUCAGCCACAUUGGGACUGAGACACGGCCCAAACUCCUACGGGAGGCAGCAGUGGGGAAUAUUGGACAUGGGCGAAAGCCUGAUCAGCCAUGCCGCGUGAGUGAU